rnacentral:ncRNA from 1 species
GCGCUACGGCUUUGACCUAACAGCCUCCGUUUGCUGGAAUUAAUCGGAAUAGUUGAGAAUAAAGUGGUGAACAGAUGCGUAAUGCGUGGGAAUCUGCCGAAUAGUUCGGGCCGAAUCCUGAAGAAAGCUCAAAGUGCUGUUUGAUGGGCCUGCGUAGUAUUAGUUAGUUGGUCAGGUAAAGGCUGGCCAAGCCAAUGAUGCUUAGCUGGUCUUUUUGGAUGAUUAGCUACACCGGAACUGAGACACAGCCCGGACUCCCAUGGGGGGCAGCAGUGGGGAAUCUUGGACAAUGGGCGAAAGCCCGAUCCAGCAAUAUCGCGUGAGUGAAGAAGGUCAGUGCUGCUUGUAAAUCUCUUACUUCGAGUGCGCGAUCAUAACAAAUCUCGAGGAAGAAGCCCCGGCUAACUCCCUGCCAGCUGCCGCGCUAAGACAGGCGUUGGGGGGCA